rnacentral:rRNA from 1 species
AAAGUCCCCUUCGGGGGGCGAGUAGAGUGGCGCACGGGUGAGUAACACGUAGGUAAUCUACCUUUGGAUUGGGAAUAACCACCGGAAACGGUGGCUAAUACCGAAUAAUGCAGCGGCACCUAAUGGUGACAGUUGUUAAAGCGGGGGAUCGCAAGACCUCGCGUCUGAAGAGGAGCCUGCGGCAGAUUAGCUAGUUGGUAAGGUAACGGCUUACCAAGGCGAUGAUCUGUAGCCGGCCUGAGAGGGCGGUCGGCCACACUGACACUGACAUACGGGUCAGACUCCUACGGGAGGCAGCAGUCGGGAAUUUUGGGCAAUGGGCGAAAGCCUGACCCAGCAACGCCGCGUGAAGGAUGAAAUCCCUCGGGAUGUAAACUUCGCAAGAACGGGAAGAAUAAGUAAGAGCUAACAUCUCUUAUGAUGACGGUACUGUUUGUAAGCUCCGGCUAACUCCGUGCCAGCAGCCGCGGUAAUACGGGGGGAGCAAGCGUUGUUCGGAUUUACUGGGCGUAAAGGGCGCGUAGGCGGCACCGCAAGUCGACUGUGAAAUCUCCGGGCUUAACUCGGAAAGGUCAGCCGAUACUGCGGGGCUAGAGUGCAGAAGGGGCAACUGGAAUUCUCGGUGUAGCGGUGAAAUGCGUAGAUAUCGAGAGGAACACCUGCGGCGAAGGCGGGUUGCUGGGCUGACACUGACGCUGAUGCGCGAAAGCUAGGGGAGCGAGCGGGAUUAGAUACCCCGGUAGUCCUAGCCUUAAACGAUGAAUGCUUGGUGUCUGGGGUUUUAUAGUCCCCGGGUGCCGUCGCUAACGCUUUAAGCAUUCCGCCUGGGGAGUACGGUCGCAAGACUG